rnacentral:rRNA from 1 species
UACGGGGGGGGCAAGCGUUGUUCGGAAUUACUGGGCGUAAAGGGCCAGUAGGCGGCCAACUAAGUCGGAUGUGAAAUCCCCAGGCUUAACCUGGGAACUGCAUCCGAUACUGGAUGGCUUGAAUUCGGGAGAGGGAUGCAGAAUUCCAGGUGUAGCGGUGAAAUGCGUAGAUAUCAGGAGGAACACCGAUGGCGAAGGCAGAUCUCUGGGCCGUAACUGACGCUGAGGAGCGAAAGCGUGGGGAGCGAACAGG